AGAAAGAGGGCUUCGGCCCUCGAGUAAAGUGGCGCACGGGUGAGUAACGCGUAGACAACCUGCCUUGAAGUUCGGGACAACCUUUCGAAAGAAGGGCUAAUACCGGAUAACACCAUUGGUCACAUGGCCGUUGGUUGAAAGGGUUACCGCUUCAAGAGGGGUCUGCGAGACAUUAGCUAGUUGGUGAGGUAACGGCUCACCAAGGCUGCGAUGUCUAGCGGGUCUGAGAGGAUGAUCCGCCACACUGGAACUGAGACACGGUCCAGACUCCUACGGGAGGCAGCAGUGGGGAAUUUUGCGCAAUGGACGAAAGUCUGACGCAGCAACGCCGCGUGGGUGAAGAAGGCCCUUGGGUCGUAAAGCCCUCUUCUGAGGGAAGAUAAUGACGGUACCUCAGGAAUAAGCACCGGCUAACUCCGUGCCAGCAGCCGCGGUAAUACGGAGGGUGCAAGCGUUGUUCGGAUUUACUGGGCGUAAAGGGCGUGUAGGCGGAUGUGUAAGCUGGGGGUGAAAGCCCGGGGCUCAACCCCGGACGGUCUCCCAGAACUGCGCAUCUAGAGAAAGUCAGAGGCAGGUGGAAUUCCAGGUGUAGAGGUGGAAUUCGUAGAGAUCUGGAGGAACACCGGCGGCGAAGGCGGCCUGCUGGGGCUUUUCUGACGCUGAGGCGCGAAAGCGUGGGGAGCAAAAAGGAUUAGAUACCCUUGUAGUCCUGGCAGUAAACGGUGCUCGCUUGGUGUGGGGAGGUUCGACCCUCUCCGUGCCGGAGCUAACGCGUUAAGCGAGCCGCCUGGGGAGUACGGUCGCAAGACUAAAACUCAAAGAAAUUGACGGGGACCCGCACAAGCGGUGGAGCAUGUGGUUUAAUUCGACGCAACGCGAAGAACCUUACCCAGGCUUGGACUGCGAGUGACCAUCGAUGAAAGUCGACUUUCGCAAGAACACUCGUAGAGGUGCUGCAUGGCUGUCGUCAGCUCGUGUCGUGAGAUGUUGGGUUAAGUCCCGCAACGAGCGCAACCCUUGUUCUCUGUUGCCAUCAGUUCGGCUGGGCACUCUGAGAAGACUGCCGGUGAUAAACCGGAGGAAGGUGGGGAUGACGUCAAGUCAGCAUGGCCUUUAUGUCUGGGGCUACACACAUGCUACAAUGGCCGGUACAAAGCGUUGCAAACUCGCGAGGGUGAGCUAAUCGCAUAAAGCCGGUCUCAGUUCGGAUCGGAGGCUGCAACUCGCCUCCGUGAAGUUGGAAUCGCUAGUAAUGGCGCAUCAGCUACGGCGCCGUGAAUACGUUCCCGGGUCUUGUACACACCGCCCGUCACAUCAUGGAAGCCGGUCGCACCCGAAGUCCGCUAGUCGGCCUAAGGUGCAGCUGGUAACUGGGAUG
rnacentral:rRNA from 1 species